rnacentral:rRNA from 1 species
UACGUAGGGUGCAAGCGUUAAUCGGAAUUACUGGGCGUAAAGCGUGCGCAGGCGGUUAUGUAAGACAGUUGUGAAAUCCCCGGGCUCAACCUGGGAACUGCAUCUGUGACUGCAUUGCUGGAGUACGGUAGAGGGGGAUGGAAUUCCGCGUGUAGCAGUGAAAUGCGUAGAGAUGUGGAGGAACACCGAUGGCGAAGGCAGCCCCCUGGGCUAACACUGACGCUCAUGCACGAAAGCGUGGGGAGCAAACAGG